rnacentral:tRNA from 1 species
AGGGGUGUAGCUCAGUGGUAGAGUGGGUGCUUGGCAUGCACGAGGUCCUAGGUUCAAUCCCCAGUGCCUCUA